AAUUUUGUUGAAUGUUAGAAUACAAGUCAAAAUUUGGAGAAAACUAUCUUCAAAUCAAUUUGCUGCAAAAUCGCGCACUUCUUUCAAAUUUAGGUAUCUGUACAGAGUUACAUCCUCCAUUGCCGGUAGAAGAGUAAUUAGCAACGAGGAAUACGUCACUGUUUCGAAAAAAGGUUCACUUAGAGAUAUUCCUACUGUAGUUUCACCCAAUCUCCAUUUAAGGAAUUUAUCCAACUUCAAAGUAAAAAUGUUCCCGAUCCAUAGACUUAAAGCAAAAAAUUGAGGAAGUCGGGGAUUGGUGACACUUUUUUCCAAUGAAACGAUGAAGAUGAUGGGCCGGGAAGAAGAAGUGAGGCUUUACGUGUCGUAGGUGGGCCCAGACCUAACCCAGACUGUGCCAAGAGCGCUCGGAUGGCUUCCUAUAUGCAGGCAGCUUGUUCACUUGCCGUAAAGCAAAAUGGUGCAAAUUGCGACCACCUAUGCACGCACUGCCGUCCCUGUUUCUCCGAUUCCAGCCUGUACCCGCGUCUCUCUUCCUGUCAGCAAGCUCCUUACAGCCUGUCGUCCAAGAAGAUGACUCUGUUCUGGUUAAACUUACUGAAAAAGCGCUGAUGAUGGAUCAUGGAGAAAUGGACAGAUUUCGCAUAAAUAAAGGAGAGAAAAGAAAAAUUGAAAGAAUAUGCAUCUGUAGAAUGUCCGGGGAAGAGGGAAAACUAAGAUUUAUCAACAGAAAUAACAUUUGUAUUUUUGAUUAACGACAAAUGGCAUCUCUGACGCAGGAUUACAGAAACUCGAUCCCGUUCUUCAAUGUUUUUUUUUUUCCUUUUUAUUUUUUUUUUGAGAGAGAGAAACUCCGCCGUGAGCGCUCCCCGAAGUGCGACGACCUUCGCGUUGCGAGGAACUAGGAUAAACCAGUGGUCUGCGUGUCUCUUUGGACGUAGAGUAAGCUAAUCCGACUGCGUAUCAUGUUUGCAGCCCCUUUAAACGAUACUGAUACGCCUUAGUCGCGAAAGUCGCAUGUUCCGAGCUCCAGGCAGUUUUUACAUCUCUUUACUUAGGAAUUCUGAUUGCACAAGUUCAUCAAUAUAUUUGAUACUUU